UACAGAGGGGGCAAGCGUUGUUCGGAAUUACUGGGCGUAAAGCGCACGUAGGCGGCUUUCUAAGUCGGGGGUGAAAUCCUGGAGCUCAACUCCAGAACUGCCUUCGAUACUGGAGAGCUCGAGUCCGGGAGAGGUGAGUGGAACUGCGAGUGUAGAGGUGAAAUUCGUAGAUAUUCGCAAGAACACCAGUGGCGAAGGCGGCUCACUGGCCCGGUACUGACGCUGAGGUGCGAAAGCGUGGGGAGCAAACAGG
rnacentral:rRNA from 1 species